UUUGGCCUUUUGAAGUGACAACGAGCUAUUGUACUAGAAGACUGAAGAUCACUAUCUUACGACCACAGUCGUACAUUUAUUUUUACCACACAAAAAAACAGACCCUUAGUUAAUAGGAUCUUGGAAUUUUACUGUUGCACUUCCGAAUGGAAAAUAAACGGGAACACCUUAACUGUAAAGUCUGUUCUUGAUUCUCACAGUUGUCAGUAACACACGAUUUCAGACCGGAGGCGUGCAAUUUUUAUUUUUUUAUUUUCUUAUUUCAAUUGUACUGUAAUAUACAUUAGUAAUAGAUUUUUCAACUGUUAAAACAGCCAUUCUCAACUUGCUUUCUAAUGUAGAAUCUAGUGAAAUCCCCAGAUUCGUUCAGUGGUUAAGGGUAUCCCAUGAACUGGAUGAGUGCUGCACUGACAACGACAUUAUACUUAAAAGGAUUGCAGAAGACCAUAGGAGUUAUUUACCUGUGGAAGCAAUAGUGAAGUCAGAACCCAAAGCUACUCAGAAGAUGGCGGUAAAGCAGAAACUCUGGGAUCCAAAAAAAAGCAGGAUGUUGAGGACAUGGGAGCCUAACUGUCUGACUGGGCAUGGCAAUGUAUGAGUCAACAUAUAAGAAAGAAACGCGCCUUACUGCUAACUGUGCCACGCCUUCAAGAAUCAAUUGAGCAACUUCAUUUUCUGUACAGCUUAAUCAAUGGGUGGAAGAAGUUCCCCUUGACCGUGAAGUAUAUCUGGGGCAGGACACUGAUGCAGAUGUACUGAAGCAGGUCCAUCUCAACAGAAUACUUUAACUUAUCAAGGACAACAACUAUACCAAACUACUAGUGUCACAAUUCAGAAAGAAGGUGGUAAAACUCCUGCUGAAGAAAAUAAGCCAGGCUCUUUUGUAUACUAGUUAAGCCUGUGGAUCUGGUUCCCAAACCCAUGUCUGCUUAAAGAAAUCUGAUAGCCAUCAUCUUUAACAAAUUGUGAGUUAAAGCUGUUUGAAAAGGACAGGCAAAAGGACACAUGCUUACUAACACCUACUUUUUAUCCAGAAUACAAUUUGAUUGAUUUAGAACAAAAAAAAAAAACAUUUUGUAUGUUGAAUAAUAUCUAAAUUGGACAGAAAAAUCAAGAUACUUGUGCUGAAAAAAUAUCUUGCCAUUUCGUCUUGCAUCAGCUGUGUAGUUUAUAUUCCUAUGACAGUGGGUCUAGAAUGUGGUUUUCUGCCUUCGUCACCCCUCCCUCAGACCCACGUCAGCUUUGGUCAUAAGGGUAGGAAGGUGGGGGGGGGGGCAGAUCCAGCUAGGGAGGAUAUGGCUUCCUGCGCAUUUAUAUUUCAAGCCUCCUUCAGAUCCUUCAAAUUAGAUGACAUGUUGCACUCUUCAAAAUUGGUGAUCUUUAAGUUAAUGGAACGUGUGUGUAGUUUUAAUCACGUACUGAAUCUUCAGAAUAAUGGAAAGGAAAGUACACUACUCACCAACAAUUAUAGUGACACAGGGCAGUAUUACUGUAAUGCUUACUGUAUGUGUAUGUUUUCAAGUAAAUCCCACACCAAACUUGUUCCUAAAAAUUGUAAUAUUCCACCCUAGCCAUGUAAUUAAGCAUCCCUAUAAAGGGAGCUUGUAUGAGUUUGUACAAAUAUCUCAUAAACUAUUAAAGCUGGCAACUUCAAACCAUUUGAACUGGUGACUUCAUAUUUUCAAGGUUAUAUAAACCUGUUAUGCUAAAUGUGUUGCUGACCUUGAAAUUGACCUCUGACCUAAUAUGGCUGCCAUGUGACUUUUGAAUAUGUGUUACACAGCUUUAUUUGGUUUUCUUUCUUGGGUUUUCUUACAUUACCAGUGUUGUCCCAUAAAUAUUAGGUCUUUCACUGAGGUAUUGCCUAACU